UAUAUAUUUCUUGGCACCACCGUCGUCUGGCAACAAUCAAUGGUAUGAAAAACAAUUCCACUCCAAUGCAGAUUUGUUUCUGGAAAGGAAGCUAAUUCUCUGCAUUUGAUGCCGAGCACCAGAGUGAAAAAUGAAAAAAGAAACAUAAAUUGCCUAAAAGGCAGACCUAUGGCGUAGGGCAUGGGCAAGACUUGACCUGGCGUGCUGCUGCUGCAGUGGGAAUCUCACACUAUUCACUCACGCGCAGCACCGAAGGAAUCCAAAGGGUUCAUAGGCACAGCCGUGUCCGUCGUAUCUUGGCGAGAACAGGGAGGACGAAGCAGAUUCUGUAGUUUUACGUGUCAUUUUCUUCAACACGUGGCUACGAGAUCAGACUGAACAAGACACCGUAGUAGAAGAAUACAUCAGUUUCUUGUACUAGUAGGAGGAUACAGGGGAUUGGUUGCUGCUCCCCUAGACAAAAACCUUUCCAGUAUUUACUUGUGGCUACUGCCUUGAGUGGGCUCUGGGAAGGAUGGAUGCAUCAGCCGCAGCGAGAUAUCAGUUUAGCGUUUACUACUAGCAGAUAGCCAGCCAAGAAAGUUGCGUUCAGGCAGUUGAACGGCUGCGCUGCAGGAGAAGAAGGCCAAGUAGGACAGCCGGACAGUCUCUAGUUUCCAGGGCAUGCAUCUCCAGUCUUCACGCACAUGAGAAAAGUGACGACAGUUAAAGAAAAAUAGUGCCCAUCAAAACAAUUAAAGCCAGUCAAAAGGAUCAGUAGAAAUCUUGAAGGGAGAAGUACGAGUGUAUGACCCGAAUUCAGGAGCAGAAAGAGCAGGAAAGUAAAUAAAAUCAAGUAUCACUACAGAACUAAUCUGGUGAGCAAGAUAAAAAAGGCAAAGCAAGAACAUCAACUCCAGAGGGCACUAAGUGUAACAGACCUGAUGGAAAAAAGCAGAGGAAGAGAUGCCCUACCUGCCAAUAGCUAUACAGAUCAACAAAUACUGUGCUGGAACUUGGGUACAAAACUAUGCAUGUGCCGAAUUUGCAAGGUGUCACGAGGAAAUUCAAAUCAUCAAGCAUUGCAAGUCAAGGAAUCAUCAACUUUACACGGUGCAGUAACUGCGAAGCAAAUUACGAAACAAAGACAACAAAAUGAAUUAGCAAGAACAGCAAGGAUGAAGAGGAAAGCACAACUUCAACUGAAAGGGGGUAGCAAACGUGCCCGGAUCAAUAACACUGAAAAAAGCAAAGACAGUAAUUCCAGUGGUAGUAAGAUAUGGAACUUUGAAGGGGCAUCAGCUAUACAGAAUCAACAAAUAAUGGACUUGAGAUUUCAAAAUUUAUGUACUAGCCAAUAUUGCCAUGCGGUAAGGGCAAAUUCAAAUUAUCAACCAGCACAAGUCACAGAAUCAUCAGUUGUAGACAGUGCAAUGAUGGCUGAGCAGAUGAUGAAACGGAGACGCCAGGACGAAUUAACGAGAACAGCACGAAUGAAGAGGAAAGCACAAAUUCAACUCAACAAGAGCAGAAGGCAUGCUAGAACCAAUAACGGUGAAAUGGACAAGGAUGAUAAUUCUAAUGCCAGUAAGAUAUGGAACUUUGGGGGGCCAACAUACAUCUGCCAACACUGCCAUGCACUUAUGUGGUAUGCAGAAAGAAUACAAUCUUCCAGAACAAGACAACCAUCCUUUGCACAAUGCUGCAAACAAGGGAAGAUUAUCUUGCCACCAUUUAAAGAACCGCCGCCUUACCUUACAAGUUUAUUAACAAGGGGUGGAGGAAAAAUAUCAGCAAACUACCGAAAGAACAUUAGGUCUUACA